GGUCGCGCUAAAGCGCGCUUCCCGUGAUGACAUUCGAUUGUUCGCCAGCGCAACGGUGAGCGGCUGCGAGACGGUGACGGCUUCCCAUAAGUUCCCGCCGAAGAGAUGCGCACUUUCCCUUGGCAGCUACGAUGACUCAUCGCACGAAUUCGAUUACAGCACACGGCGAAGCACUAAGAUUCCUUCUCUAAGAACAAAGAUCUUUCCUUACUCUUAAUUCUAUCAUUUAUAAUAGGGAUAAAGAGUUAGCAUAUCCUUAAAUCACGAAAUGGAUACUCCGAACAGUAUUCCGAGAGGAAAGAUAUCCUAUUCUUUUUCUUUUUUUUUCAUCAAAGAGGUGUGUUCUACUUGUAAUAAAGUGUUCACUUUGGAAAAGAACUUAACUUGAAAUCUAAAGUUCCAUUUGGGAGGACGCACCUUUGAUAGCGUGGAAUGUGAGUUGCAGUUCGUUUGACAAAGUCAUUUAAUAAGCAUACACGAAUUCAUUCUGAAAGAAAAAAAUACCUUUUUAAUACAGUAUAAAUUGCAAGAGAUAGCUCGUGUUGAUAAAUUAAGAGUUCAUGAAGUGAUUCAUCUUCGAAAUUUUAUUUGUGUGGUAUGUUUACAAGUUUUCCCGAAAACAAGUGAUUUGAAUUCCGAUGAAAGGACCUUUGUCAAGUUGAACCCCUAACUAAUAUUAUCUUUGAUUGACUAGUUUAGAAAAUUACGUAUGGCAACAGUGAAGGUUGUUGGCAUUUUCGUUUUGAGCUCCUUCUUUUUAUGAGAAAAGGAGAAAAAUAACUUCGAGUUGCAUUUCAUGUGUAUUUGAUCAUUAAAUGAGUAUUUUCUUACGCCAUUUAUAUUUUUGAGUGUUGUUUUGAGAUGCUGAAACUACAGUUCCUUGUAGUCACUUAUUAGAUUUGUAAAUAAACUGUUUGUGUUGUAA